rnacentral:rRNA from 1 species
CAGCCGCCACGGUAAUACGUAGGUGGCAAGCGUUGUCCGGAAUUAUUGGGCGUAAAGGGCUCGCAGGCGGUUUCUUAAGUCUGAUGUGAAAGCCCCCGGUUCAACCGGGGAGGGUCAUUGGAAACUGGGAAACUUGAGUGCAGAAGAGGAGAGUGGAAUUCCACGUGUAGCGGUGAAAUGCGUAGAGAUGUGGAGGAACACCAGUGGCGAAGGCGACUCUCUGGUCUGUAACUGACGCUGAGGAGCGAAAGCGUGGGGAGCGAACAGGAUUAGAUACCCGCGUAGUCCCUGUCUCUUAUAA